CUAUUAUUCAAUAGAUUGGGCAGGUGUCUAUGUAUUGGAGAAUUACUAAUGCUACUCCUGUUUUGAAAGGGAAUUAUAAUGGUUGCAGUAAAAUUAAUAGAGCUGGGUAAUAAAUGUAAUUGGAAUAAUAAAAAAUAGUAAUAUUUGAUUAUUUUCAUGAGUCAUGACACUAAUGGUUGAAGCUGAACAGCUUUAAAUUAAGUGAAAGGCAGCAUAAAUUCACCAGAGGAAAAUCUUGACUUACUAAGCUGCUGUCUUUUUUUUUCUUCUUCUUCAUGAUGUUUCUUGUUAUCUGGAUGAAAGAAAGUUUGUGGAAUUGUUAUACUUGCAUUGUAGGGUGGUUAGAUGGAAGAAAGCAAAAGGUUAUUAAGAGUUCAGUCAGACUGGACCAUUGUUACUAGUGGAAUGCUUCAGAGGAAUAUGAACGCCAACAAGAGCAGAGGUUAUGAGUAAAAAACAUUCCAGCAUGUCCUUUUCAACUUGGAAUGUAAUGUUAAUUUUGGCCACUGGGGAUCCAUGGUGAAACAUUUAUUGACAUGG